rnacentral:rRNA from 1 species
UACGUAGGGACCAAGCGUUGUUCGGAUUUACUGGGCGUAAAGGGCGCGUAGGCGGCAUGACAAGUCACUUGUGAAAUCUCUGGGCUUAACCCAGAACGGCCAAGUGAUACUGUCGCGCUAGGAGUGCGGAAGGGGCAAUCGGAAUUCUUGGUGUAGCGGUGAAAUGCGUAGAUAUCAAGAGGAACACCUGAGGUGAAGACGGGUUGCUGGGCCGACACUGACGCUGAGUGCGCGAAAGCCAGGGGAGCAAACGGG